rnacentral:lncRNA from 1 species
CAUGUACUCUUUUGAGACCUUAGUGUGCUGUUUCUAGAUCAACAAUUUAUGAUAUUUAUUGAGCACCUGCAAUGUGUCCAGCUUUGUGCUUGGUGAUGUGAAGGCAAGAGAUGUAAGGACCUGGUUUCUAAUCUUCAAAAAAGUCUACACUGUGGUUGAAGUGAAACACAAAGAGAGUUUUUGCCUCCGAAAUGACAAGCAGAGAACCACAAGGCAAUGUUGAGAUGCAGAGGGUGGCAGUUUCCCUCCUAGCAGAGUGACUCACUCAUGCCUCCACUCCAGGGUGCAGGGCUUAGAUUCAUGACAGAUACAAGUGAAAUCACAAUGACAUCAAUAAUCCUGAAUUUCUUCUUCACACUCACUCAUGAAAAGUCUCCGAUUUUCCCACCUUGCUCAGCCACCUUAAGUGCCUUCCUUCAAGAUAUUUCCUACUGCUUCUAAAGAGGAUCUCCCAUUGGCUUGGGAGCAGCGUGAGAAGAGACUUGUACACAGAGAGGCUGGGCAACUUGUACAUGGUUGCACAGAUGUCCAGAGGCAGUGCUGAGAUGUGAACACAGGAAGACUGGAUUCAGCAUCUGUGCUACUAACCAGGACACUAUGAAGUCUCUCAUACCUGUGGUACUAGGAAAAUCAGAGAAAAUUUCAAGGAGGGUGGGGCAUUAGAAGCUGACUAUGGAGGAACCGGUAGGAGUUGGAUGUUUGGAAAUAGAGGGCAGGGCAUUGCAGGUAGAGAAUGGGAGUGUAUUCUGGAUGCCAACACAUCUGUGGCGGUCCUAAG